GCCGGUGUAGCUCAGCAGGUAGAGCAACUGAUUUGUAAUCAGUAGGUCGCGGGUUCGACCCCCGCCGCCGGCC
rnacentral:tRNA from 1 species